CCUACGGGUGGCUGCAGUGGGGAAUCUUGCGCAAUGGGCGAAAGCCUGACGCAGCGACGCCGCGUGGGCGAAGAAGGCCUUCGGGUUGUAAAGCCCUGUGGGGGAGAACGAACCGUACGGGGGCGAAUACCCUCCGUGCCUGACGGUACUCCUUUAGCAAGCAUCGGCUAACUCUGUGCCAGCAGCCGCGGUAAGACAGAGGAUGCAAACGUUGCUCGGAAUUACUGGGCGUAAAGCGCGUGUAGGCGGUCUGGUAAGUCGGACGUGAAAUCCCGGGGCUCAACCCCGGAAGUGCGCUCGAUACUGCCGGACUUGGGUUCUGAAGAGGAGAGCGGAAUUCCCGGUGUAGAGGUGAAAUUCGUAGAUAUCGGGAGGAACACCAGUGGCGAAGGCGGCUCUCUGGGCAGAUACCGACGCUGAGACGCGAAAGCGUGGGAAGCAAACAGGAUUAGAUACCCCAGUAGUC
rnacentral:rRNA from 1 species